rnacentral:rRNA from 1 species
GCUAUAAUUUACUUGAUCUUGAGCAGUUACUCGGAUAACUGUGGUAAUUCUAGAGCUAAUACGUGCACCGAAGCUGCCCCUCGCGGGGUAGUGCAUUUAUUGGAGCAAAACCAAGCGGCUUCGGCCGUUUUCGGUUGACUCAGAAUAACUAAGCUGAUCGCAUGGGCUUGUCCCGGSGACGUGUCUUUCAAGUGUCUGCCUUAUCAACUUUCGAUGGUAGUGUAUGUGACUACCAUGGUGUUGACGGGUAACGGAGGAUAAGGGUUCGACUCCGGAGAAGGGGCCUGAGAAAUGGCCACUACGUCUAAGGAUGGCAGCAGGCGCGCAAAUUACCCACUCUCGGCUCGAGGAGGUAGUGACGAAAAAUAACAAGGCCGUUCUCUACGAGGCCGGCCAUUGGAAUGGGUACAAUCUAAACCCUUUAACGAGUAUCAAUGAGAGGGCAAGUCUGGUGCCAGCAGCCGCGGUAAUUCCAGCUCUCAUAGUGCAUAGAACCAUUGCUGCGGUUAAAAAGCUCGUAGUUGGAUCUGUGCCCGCGACGUGGUCCACCUUAACGGGCGGUACUGCGCUCGCGGGCUUUGGGCCGGUCUUCGGUCGGUGGCCUUCACCGGUUGCCGCCCGUGGCUGGCUGGUUUACUUUGAGCAAAUCAGAGUGCUCAGCACAGGCGUCUCGCCGGAAUGUUCGUGCAUGGAAUAAUGGAAAAGGAUCACGGUCCUCUUUUAUUGGUUUUGUGGACUGAGAUAAUGGUUAACAGAGACGGACGGGGGCAUUCGUAUUGCUGCGUGAGAGGUGAAAUUCUUGGACCGCAGCAGGACGGACUACAGCGAAAGCA